rnacentral:rRNA from 1 species
GACAGAGGGUGCAAACGUUGUUCGGAAUUACUGGGCGUAAAGCGCGUGUAGGCGGCUUUGCAAGUCGGAUGUGAAAGCCCUCGGCUUAACCGGGGAACUGCGUCUGAUACUGGAUGGCUUGAGUUUGGGAGAGGGACGCGGAAUUCCAGGUGUAGCGGUGAAAUGCGUAGAUAUCUGGAGGAACACCGGUGGCGAAGGCGGCGUCCUGGACCAACACUGACACUGAUGAGCGAAAGCCAGGGGAGCAAACGGG